AUUGAACGCUGGCGGCAGGCCUAACACAUGCAAGUCGAACGAGUGGCGGACGGGUGAGUAAUGUCUGGGAAACUGCCCGAUGGAGGGGGAUAACUACUGGAAACGGUAGCUAAUACCGCAUACCAUCGGAUGUGCCCAGAUGGGAUUAGCUAGUAGGUGGUGUAAAGGCUCACCUAGGCGACGAGCCCUAGCUGGUCUGAGAGGAUGACCAGCCACACUGGAACGUAGACACGGUCCAGACUCCUACGGUAGGCAGCAGUGGGGAAUAUUGCACAAUGGGCGCGAGCCUGAUGCAGCCAUGCCGCGUGUAUGAAGAAGGCCUUCGUGUUGUAAAGUACUUUCAGCGGGGAGGCGUUACCCGCAGGAGAAGCACCGGCUAACUCCGUGCCAGCAGCCGCGGUAAUGC
rnacentral:rRNA from 1 species